rnacentral:rRNA from 1 species
AUUGAACGCUGGCGGCAGGCCUAACACAUGCAAGUCGGGCGAGAGGCGGACGGGUGAGUAAUGUAUGGGGAUCUGCAUGAUGGCGGGGGAUAACUACUGGAAACGGUAGCUAAUACCGCAUACAAUCCGAUGAAACCAUAUGGGAUUAGCUAGUAGGUAAGGUAACGGCUUACCUAGGCGACGAUCCCUAGCUGGUCGGAGAGGAUGAUCAGCCACACUGUGACCAAGACACGGCCCAGACUCCUACGGGAGGCAGCAGUGGGGAAGAAUGCACAAUGGGCGCAAGCCUGAUGCAGCCAUGCCGCGUGUAUGAAGAAGGCCUUCGGGUUGUAAAGUACUUUCAGUCGGGAGGCGUUACCGACAGAAGAAGCACCGGCUAACUCCGUGCCAGCAGCCGCGGUAAUAC